rnacentral:lncRNA from 1 species
UCCCUUCCACAGUGCCACUGCCAUGGCAAUGAUAUUAUGUCUAUGAUGUUGGUAUAUGAUAUGAUAGCUAGUGUCGGAUGAAGAGGUUUCCUGCUGUCAAGAAAUGAUGUUAGUCGAGUUAGGCAGUGAUCCACCGGAAAGACAGGGGGUCACGGAAGCAAUUCAGAAGCUCCCCACGCAUCGCACUGAGACGUUUCGGCAGGAGAACGCCCACUGAACUGAAGACGAGCACGAUCAAAAGGACCAAAGAGAGUGAGCUUGAGCCUCGAGCUCUACCGUGGUAGACCGUUCCACUACUACCGACCGACCACGCACUGAUAUCAUAUCAUCCCAAUCAUCAUCUACUACACCUUUAUUAGGUCUCUUUUCAUUUUACUUGCUAGCGAGACAAGGAUUGUUCGUCCCAGUUCUAGAUUGUGCGAGAAGAAUAAGCUUUUCUCUUUAAAGUAAAAGUUGGGAACUGUUG